CCAAUAUUUCCCAAAACAAACACCGCGGUCGAGUUCUUACUCUUUCAGAUGCAUAUACCUAUAUAUAUAUAUAGGUAUAGAUUUCCAUAUGAACUGCACGUGUACAUUUUUCUAAAGAUUCCCUUCUGCUUGUUCAGUGUACAGGCGUCAUCGCCUUGAAAUAUAAUAUACCAGAUCGAUUUCUUCGGAUAUAACAUUAUUAACACACGUAUAAGCUUUCACAUUUUGAUCUCCGUGCAGUUUUCUCUGCCUAUAUUACCAGGGCGUCCUUCACGGACGCGUUUCUCUGGUAUGGAGAGUGAUCCCGAGCUGUAAGAGCUUUUUAUUAAUUUUUAUUUCUUACUCUGGAAUCGAGGCACUAGAAUGUAUAAACCGAAAAUAGGAUCAUUUGCUUCUUUACCC